CAUAACACCCUCACACUUUCAACAUUUUUUUGAAGUAAUGAAGCUUGUAUCAUAAGGAUCAUAUUUUCUAGUACAGUAGCUACUUGGUUAAAACGUUUCCCUUACGUCAAUGAUUGUACAAUGCUCUGGUGCCACUCAAUGAUGGUUGUGCCUGUUGCGUGUCGAAUAGAAAUAGAGGGCGGGGACUAAAGGCAAGAAACCGCAAAGGAUUAACCAAUCAAGGGAUUCCGAUACAUUUUGUGGGCCUGUACAUUCUAAUAUAAUUAUCAGAAACUGGAGUGUAUUUAUUCCGCCUAUUCUGUUGCAAAACGUUUCUUAAACGGAAGCAAACGAAAGGGGGAGGGAGCUACCCGAAUUUGUCCAAUAGAAACUAGUUUUGCUCUCUUUGAUUUGUUUGGUUCUUAAACGGGUUUCGUAAUGAAUACACCCUUGAUGUUGACGUUUCCAGUACCUCAUUGUGCAGCCCACCCACCCAUAAAGAGGCUUUUAACAUCAAAGUUUAACCUGUGGCUAAAGUAGUUCAAUUUCCUAUUGACAGUAAUAAAUUAACGGACUUUACGCACCAGUGAAAGACACCGGAUAAUCGAUAUUGUUUUAGGCUGACAAUUGGAAUUGAUGUCUCAUUUCUCAUCCAUGCUAACGUCACCUGGCUGUCUAAAAUUGAUGAUGUGAGAUGAGGCGGCUAGCGACAACAUAGCUAUUCAGCAAGCUGAAGAAUACUCAAAGGAAAGAGAAGAAAAGACUUCACUUCUCUCACUAGUUUAACGCCAAGUGGAAUUUCGUAUUUGUUUUGACGAAAUUGUGUUUAACUCGUGAGCAAAUGUCUAAAUUAUAGUUAAUCUUAGUCCAACACGCGCCACAGUUUUCCGACGUUUCAACUGGAUCAAAGAGUGACUUUUCCGCAAUGGAAUUAAAGUAAUGGGGGUGAAUUGCUGCUCGGACCUCUGUGUGUCUUCCCACUAUGUGGACGCGUCCCUCAUGUACCUGCUGGAGUACUACACCUACCACCUGUGUGCCUUUGACUACAGGUACCGCUACCAGCCCCUGGCCCCCCUGGGCUACAAGAUGGAGGUGUGGGACAGGUCAGAGGGGGGACACUCGUACUCCAAAGAGCAGCCAGCAAUCCCGAGUGGGGCGGGUGCAUCCAGACAGACAGGAAACAGGAAGUGAUGCCUCCUGCUGCUGUAGGGGAGAAGGACCCACCUGCUGCUGCUCAGGAUGACUAGCAGUAGCAGCCGUGUGUGUGUGUGUGUAUGCUUGCCAUUUGAGGCGUGCAUGUUUUACACAUAUGUGCAAAUCACCCGCACAAAAGUGAAGAGACGGUGCAAACUGUGGUGCCUCCAAAUAAGUGUGCUGUUGUGAAGGAUCUGCAAAGACUUUCUGCUGUGAUGGCAAGAUUGGCCUUUUGGCUGUAAGUUGGUUGGGUUGUCACUGUAGAAACCCCAUCCCUUUUUAGUCCUUGUUUUAUAUUUAACAUGAUUGUUAGCUCAUACCAGUUUUAAUCCAUGUUGUUUUAAUUAUCUCAGUUCUUUAACCACUGUCUUAAGACUCAUGAAAUAAUUAUUGGAUGAUUUACUGGCUGAUUUUGGAUUAGCUUUCCAUACCCUAGUCAAAACCUAAGCUACUAGGGGUUGAAAACCAAGCCUGGUCUUAGAUCUGCAUUUAUACCUGUAGAGACGGGUGAAAAGAGUAUCUGUAAUUAGACGUGAAAAAAAACAGUAGUUCUUUCAGCUUCACUGAUUUCCCCCCACUCCUUUUGGAGGGAGAAAGAGGAAUCCUAGGAGACCUGGCUUUCUCUAUUCUCUAUCAGCCCCAGUAGCUUGUGCCUUGUAAAUCAUGAUUGUAUGCCCCGUCAGCUGCACAUUUUGACACUGCACUGUGACAAGUCUAAGAAUGAUCUUUUCAGAGAGGAGAAAUGUCAUUGUUUAUACGUUCCACAGAUCUAGGCCAAUAGGAAGGCCUUAUGUUGGGAGGUAGAGAUGCCUUUUGAACAUGUCGCUUGAACCUACCUACCUGUGCAUGAUCAAUUCAGCUAUCUCUGUUGGAUUAGGUAAUAUUUCGUUCAUUUGUUUUAUUUAUAUUGAACCAAAAUGUAAACGCAACAUGCAAAGUGUUGGUCCCAUCUUACAUGAGCUUAAAUAAAAGAUCCCAGAAAUGUUCCAUACGCACAAAAAGCUUAUUUCUCUAAAAUGUGUUUACAUCCCUGUUAGUGAACAUUUUUCCUUUGCUAAGGUGAUCCAUCCACUUGAUAGGUGUGGCAUAUCAAAAAGUUGAUUAAACAGCAUGAUAAUUACACAAGUGCACCUUGGCAGUACGUCCAACCGGUUUCACAACCACAGAACACUUGUAACCACACCCGCCCAGGACCUCCACAUCUGGCUUCUUCACCUGCGGAAUCGUCUGAGACCAGCUGAUGAAAGAAAUUUGUAUUUCUGUCUAAUAAUUUCCCCUUUGUGGGAGAACUCAUUCUGAUUGGCUGGGCCUAGCUCCCCCAUGGCUGUGCCCCUGUCAUGUGAAAUCCAUAGAUUAGGGCCUAAUUCAUUUAUUUAAAUUAACUGAUUUCCUUAUAUGAACUGUAAUGCCAUAAAAUCAUUGAAAUUGUCGCAUUUAUAUUUUUGUUCAGUAUACAGUACCUUCAGAAAGUAUUCAGACCCAUUGACUUUUUUCACAUUUAGUUUUUUUCCCUCAUCAAUCUGCACACACUAUCCCAUAAUGACAAAGCAAAAAAUGUUUUUUAGAUAUGUUUUUUAAAAAAUGGUAAUAAAUUAGCAAAAAUCACAGUAAGUAUUCAGACCCUUUACUCAGUACUUUGAAGCACUUUUGGCAGCAAAUACAGCAUCGAGUCUUCUCGGGGAUGACGUUACAAGCUUGGCACACCUUUAUUUGGGGAGUUUCUCCCAUUUCUUCUUUGCAGAUCUUCUCAAGCUCUGUCAGGUUGGAUGGAGAGUGUUGCUGCACAGCUGUUUAAUCAGCUUCUUGAUAUGCCACACUUGUCGGGUGGAUGGAUUAUCUUGGCAAAGGAGAAAUGCUCACUAACAUGGAUGUAAACAAAUUUGUUCACAAAAUUGGAGAGAAGGAAGCUUUUUGUGCAUAUGGAACAUUUCUGGGAUCUUUUAUUUCAGCUCAUGAAACAUGGGACCAACACUUUAAAUGUUGCGUUUUUAUAUUUUGGUUCUGUGUAGUUUACAUUCUUGUCAAAGGGAACGGUGUACAGAACUCUAUGUAUAUGUAUGUUUAAGAAGAGUUAGAGUUAAAUGUAAUCAAUUUAAUGAAAAGUGCUUUAACCAGCAUAUUAAAGAAAUACAUUUUACUUUUA